GAUGAACGCUGGCGGCGUGCUUAACACAUGCAAGUCGAACGGAAAGGCCCUGCUUUUGUGGGGUGCUCGAGAGGCGAACAGGGGAGUAAAACAUGAGUAACCUGCCCUUGACUUUGGGAUAACUUCAGGAAACUGGGGCUAAUACCGGAUAGAAGAUCCUGAUGCAUGGGGGGGGUUGGAAAGUUUCGGCGGUUGUGGCUGGACUAGCGGCUUAUCAGCUUGUUGGUGGGGUAGUGGCUUACCAAGGCUUUGACGGGUAGCCGGCCUGGGAGGGUGACCGGCCACAUUGGGCCUGCGAUACGGCCCAGACUGCUACGGGACGCAGCAGUGGGGAAUAUUGCACAAUGGGCCGAAGUCUGAUGCAGCAACGCCGCGUGCGGGAUGACGGCCUUCGGGGUGUAAACCGCUUUCGCCGGUGACGUAGCGUUAGUGACGGUAACGGGUAAAGAAGCACCGGCUAACUACGUG
rnacentral:rRNA from 1 species